rnacentral:snRNA from 1 species
GAGUGUUAGAGUGAUCUAGCUGUGAAAUCUCUCACCAUAUUAGUCACCAUGAUUGAUCUGGCUGACACCACUGGCUUGUUGGAUUUCCCCUUUCUUCUCCAAUCGAUAUGAGUGAGGGCCACUGCUAAGAAGCUGUGUGCUGAAUGCAAGAGAAUGGCCUUUCUUACAGAGGGAUCCCAGUUCCCCAUCAAGGAUGUUAGAGUAACAUUGCACUCCCACUAGAUUGUUACUCUAAAUAAGUUCUAAACAUCCAUUACGUAUGUAUUUUUCUUACUAAUAUCUCUAAGUUGUGAGCUU